CCUACGGGUGGCUGCAGUGGGGAAUAUUGGACAAUGGGCGAAAGCCUGAUCCAGCCAUGCCGCGUGUGUGAAGAAGGCCUUCGGGUUGUAAAGCACUUUCAGUGGGGAAGAAAGCCUUGGGGCUAAUACCCUCGAGGAAGGACAUCACCCACAGAAGAAGCACCGGCUAACUCCGUGCCAGCAGCCGCGGUAAUACGGAGGGUGCGAGCGUGAAUCGGAAUUACUGGGCGUAAGCGCGCGUAGGCGGUCUGAUAAGCCGGUUGUGAAAGCCCCGGGCUCAACCUGGGAACGGCAUCCGGAACUGUCAGGCUAGAGUGCAGGAGAGGAAGGUAGAAUUCCCGGUGUAGCGGUGAAAUGCGUAGAGAUCGGGAGGAAUACCAGUGGCGAAGGCGGUCUUCUGGACUGACACUGACGCUGAGGUGCGAAAGCGUGGGUAGCAAACAGGAUUAGAUACCCCAGUAGUC
rnacentral:rRNA from 1 species